GAUGAACGCUGGCGGCGUGCCUAACACAUGCAAGUCGAGCGAACAGACGAGGAGUUUGCUCCCCUGACGUUAGCGGCGGACGGGAGAGUAACACGUGGAUAACCUACCUAUAAGACUGGGAUAACUUCGGGAAACCGGAGCUAAUACCGGAUAAUAUAUUGAACCGCAUGGGUCAAUAGUGAAAGUCGGUUUUGCUGUGACUUAUAGAUGGAUCCGCGCCGCAUUAGCUAGUUGGUAAGGUAACGGCUUACCAAGGCGACGAUGCGUAACCGACCUCAGGGGGAGGUCGGCCACCCUGGAGCUGAGGCACGGUCCCCACUCCUGCGGGGGGCAGCAGUCCGGACUCCUACGCGAUGGACGAGAGCCUAACAGAGCACCACCGCGUGAGUGAUGAAGGACUUCGGAUCGUUGAGCGCUGUUGUUAGUGGGGAACAAAUGUGUAAUUAACUGUGCACAUAUUGACGGUACCUGGUCAAAAAGCCCCGGCUAACUACGUG
rnacentral:rRNA from 1 species